GGACCCGCACAAGCGGUGGAGCAUGUGGUUUAAUUCGACGCAACGCGAAGAACCUUACCAGGGCUUGACAUCCCGCGCUACCCAUGGAAACAUGGGGUUUAGACCUUCGGGUCUGACGCGGUGACAGGUGGUGCAUGGUUGUCGUCAGCUCGUGUCGUGAGAUGUUGGGUUAAGUCCCGCAACGAGCGCAACCCCUACUUUUAGUUGCCAUCAUUAAGUUGGGCACUCUAAAGGAACUGCCGGUGACAAACCGGAGGAAGGUGGGGAUGACGUCAAAUCAUCAUGCCCUUUAUGUCCUGGGCUACACACGUGCUACAAUGGUCGGUACAGAGGGCUGCUAAGCCGUGAGGUGGAGCGAAUCCCAUAAAGCCGGUCUCAGUUCGGAUUGUAGUCUGCAACUCGACUACAUGAAGUCGGAAUCGCUAGUAAUCGCAAGUCAGCAUAUUG
rnacentral:rRNA from 1 species